UACAUGGGGUGCAAACGUUGCUCGGAAUUAUUGGGCGUAAAGCGCACGUAGGCGGCUUGCAAGUCGGAUGUGAAAUCCCUCGGCUUAACCAAGGAAGUGCAUCCGAAACUGCAGAGCUUGAGUACUUAAGAGGAUCGCGGAAUUCCCGGUGUAGCGGUGAAAUGCGCAGAUAUCGGAAGAACACCCGUGGCGAAGGCGGCUCUCGUGGGACGGUACUGGACGCUGA
rnacentral:rRNA from 1 species